CACGGGGGGAGCAAGCGUUGUUCGGAAUCACUGGGCGUAAAGGGCGUGUAGGCGGUCAGGUAAGUGAGAUGUGAAAUGCCCCGGCUCACCCGGGGACCGGCAUCUCAUACUGCUUGGCUUGAGUACGGGAGAGGAUGUGGGAAUUCCUGGUGUAGCGGUGAAAUGCGUAGAUAUCAGGAGGAACACCGGUGGCGAAGGCGGUUCUCUGGGACGGUACUGACGCUGAGACGCGAAAGCGUGGGGAGCGAACAGG
rnacentral:rRNA from 1 species